rnacentral:lncRNA from 1 species
AAAGACCUGAACUGACAGGAUCUGUGACCUAUUUCUAGGUCCUUGAUACCUCCUCAGGGGCUGGGGAGUUGGGACUUAGUGGAUGCCUGCUAAGAGGAAGGAAUUAUCACCCAGAUGUCCAGGAUGGGCUGAAUAUGAGAUAUUGAAAAUGAAGCUGAAGGCCUGACUGACAGCCCCAACAUCCCAACACACUGAGGCAAAGCAGGCCUGGGGACCACCAAGGUGACAGGUCAUCGGCGCUUUCAUCUCUCUUUGGCUCCAGGGAAUUCCCCCAGCUCGUCUCAUCUAUAAAAUGGAUUUCUUUCUGUAUUGAGCAGGUGAAAUGAGGUUUUCUGUGCUCCGUUCUUAGGCCUGUGGAGUGGUUGUUUUCCAUACCUGGUUACUGAGGGAAUCGAGGAUGCUAUUUGGUGGAGGCCACACAAGCAAGGACAGCUUCAAGCCCUGCACAGCAGGCUCAGAAUCAUGGUCACCAAAGGUUCUUGGUGCUGAGUCUACCCCCAUACCAAAAUCCUUCCCAGACCUCAAAAAUCCUGGAUAUGGC